AUAUAUUAGAUAUUCAAAGAUUUAAGAAUACGGCUUUCACAAAAAAAAUGGGAGAGAAGUAGAUUUUUGAAGCUGUGUUUGCAUUCUUCGUUUUCAACUUUCGAUGUCGAGUCGGGAAGGGUGGGAGUGUUGACUGGUUGGCUGAAUCGGAGCUCGGCGGCGGCGGUGGCGGCCUGGCAGCUGCUGUCCGUCAAAGCCAGAGAGGAGAGGGGAGAACAGAGGGAAAUCUUGAGGGUGAAAUCGGCGGCUGGCAGCGGUGGUUUGUUGUUGUCGAUGACGGUGGCAUCCGCUUGCUGCAAUCGCCGGAAAUGGUGGGAGAGGGGAUGGGCCGUGAGGAGGCGCGGCUGCCGUCGACUCGCCGGGACUGGAGCAGGCGGUGGCGGCGGAUCUGUGGAGGGAGGAGAGGCGGUGGUUUUGAGAGAGAGAAAAAUAGUAGUUUUAGAGAGAGAGAGAGAGGACCGAUGGAGGGGUUGAGGAGAGAGAUGAGCUUGUUUUAAUUGUUUCUUUUAUUUUAGAGCUUUACUUCUUUAAAGUUUGGACUUUUAUUUUGGGCCUCAAUAAUUAUUUUGCUAUGGGCCGACUGUUUUAUUAAUUUGAUGGGCUGAUUUCUAUUUGUGAAUGGGCUGCUUUUUAAAUAAAGUUAUGGGUUGAGUUUAUAUAUUUUAAGCUCAUUUAAAUUGGGCGGGCCUAUUACAUUAUUUCCUUAAACCUUAAUUAUUAUUUUGAGCCUGUAAAUAUUUUAAUAAAUUUUAUUAAUUUUAUCCCAAGAUUAAGG
rnacentral:lncRNA from 1 species